rnacentral:rRNA from 1 species
UACAGAGGUCUCAAGCGUUGUUCGGAUUCAUUGGGCGUAAAGGGUGCGUAGGUGGCGCGCUAAGUCAGGUGUGAAAUUUCGGGGCUCAACUCCGAAACUGCAUUUGAUACUGGCGUGCUUGAGGACGGGAGAGGAGACUGGAAUUUACGGUGUAGCAGUGAAAUGCGUAGAGAUCGUAAGGAAGACCAGUGGCGAAGGCGGGUCUCUGGACAGUUCCUGACACUGAGGCACGAAGGCCAGGGGAGCAAACGGG